rnacentral:lncRNA from 10 species
UUUAAAAACAAAAUCACUUGUUUUUGUAUUUCAUAGGUGUUCAGAACAAGAAGAGUUUUAUCUGGUCCUGAUAUCAACAUUUUCCCCAUUACCUCUUGAUGCGUUGACUACAAGUUCACCCAAAGAUCCUAGACCUUGACUUGAUGCUUUGACUUGAUGGAACUUGGGGUAGCCUUCCCUGAAAAAGUGGAGAAGGGAUUGGGAAGUUCUGACACAUGGUGUACUAUUGGCAUGAAAAAACCUAGAAUGGAGAAGUGGUCUGAGAAG